AGAGGGUGAAACUCCCGUCCGCCUGGUAGAAUGAGUCUUUGUCAACGAGUCGAGUUGUUUGGGAUUGCAGCUCUAAUUUGGUGGUAAAUUCCAUCUAAAGCUAAAUAUUGGUGGGAGACCGAUAGCGUACAAGUACCGUGAGGGAAAGAUGCAAAAAACUUUGAAAAGAGAGUUAAAGAGUACCUGAAAUUGCUGAAACGGAAGCGAAGGAAACCAGUGUUUGUUGGUUCAUAUUUCCUUGGCCACUUGUGGUCUGGGCGCUGUGAGCUUGCGUGGGUUUGGGUUGGUUGAUCCCUUUGGAAGAGCGCAGUCAGGUAGUUGAUGUCU
rnacentral:rRNA from 1 species